CCAGCAGCCAGCACACUCCUUGGCUGCGCUCUCGCUGGGGCAGGGGCUGCAGCCCUCCCCUGCUGCCGCCCUGCUGCCUGUCUGGGCAGCUCAGCAGAGACAGGACGUGACAAACAGCACACGGGGCUGUGCGGCUGCUGUGGGCAGCCCUCCUGCGAGGGGGGGAAGGCAAAGGAAGCGGCGCUGGGAAGAGGCACGGUCCGGUUUAAGCGCAGCUGUCUGCUGGGGCUGCUGUUGUGGAAAUGGCUGCAAAUGCUUCCUGAUCCUCUCGGCAGGUAGAGCAGCCUCAUUGGCAAUCACAGAAAGGAGUGGUUUCCACUGCUCGGAUCUGCUGUGGGACCUCUCGAGUGUGAGACUGCGGCUGUCCACGCAGGGAAGCCCGAAGGAGAGCAGCAACCAUGUGGCUGCUGACAGCUCUCAUGCUGGCAGCUGGUUUCUCCUGUAGCUCUGCACAAGCCCUGCAGCAAAGUCCAGUGUCCAUCACCAAGCCUGAAAACAAAACGGUGCUCAUCACCUGCCGCAUCUCCAUCUCCAGCUUUGACAGAGUCUUCAUUCACUGGUACCGCAGGAGGCCUGGGGCAGCUCCCAGGCGCAUUGCCUACAUGGCAACCAGGCUGUUCCUUGAGAAUGAGUCCGAUGAGGGGAAAUUCAGCAUCGAGAAGGACCUCGCCAAGUCCCAGUGCACCCUGACAGUGGGCAGACUCACUGCACAAGACGCUGCUACCUACUACUGUGCCAGAUGGGAUGCACAGCAGCAGAGAGCCAUAGGGAACCUGCACAAAGACACUCUCUGCUUCCUGAACGAGACGUUACAAUGCAGACAACUUGUGGGACCUUCCCUCUGCAUCUUUAUUCUAGGCACAUCCUAUGUGGGCUCUAAAACGGUUGCGUUUCUCGUACCGUUUGGCCCAGCCUAGAAGGUGCCUCUGU